rnacentral:rRNA from 1 species
GACGAACGCUGGCGGCGUGCUUAACACAUGCAAGUCGAACGGAAAGGCCCUGCUUUUGUGGGGUGCUCGAGUGGCGAACGGGUGAGUAACACGUGAGUAACCUGCCCUUGACUUUGGGAUAACUUCAGGAAACUGGGGCUAAUACCGGAUAGGAGCUCCUGCUGCAUGGUGGGGGUUGGAAAGUUUCGGCGGUUGGGGAUGGACUCGCGGCUUAUCAGCUUGUUGGUGGGGUAGUGGCUUACCAAGGCUUUGACGGGUAGCCGGCCUGAGAGGGUGACCGGCCACAUUGGGACUGAGAUACGGCCCAGACGCCGACGGGAGGCAGCAGUGGGGGAUAUUGCACAAUGGGCGGAAGCCUGAUGCAGCAACGCCGCGUGCGGGAUGACGGCCUUCGGGUUGUAAACCGCUUUCGCCUGUGACGAAGCGUGAGUGACGGUAAUGGGUAAAGAAGCACCGGCUAACUACGUG